GGACAGAAAGACCCUAUGAAGCUUUACUGUAACUUGAAAUUGAAAUUGGACUUUACUUGCGCAGAAUAGGUGGGGGGCAUUGAAAAUAUUCUUGCGGGAAUAUUGGAGCCAUCGGUGAGAUACCACUCUGGUAAUGUUAGGUUUCUAACUUGGUAUCAUGAUCUGGUCCAAGAACAGUUUCAGGCGGGCAGUUUGACUGGGGCGGUCGCCUCCUAAACGGUAACGGAGGCGUACAAAGGUUUCCUCUGAACGGGUAGAAAUCGUAUCUAGAGUGUAAAGGCAUAAGGAAGCUUGACUGUGAGACCUACAAGUCGAGCAGGGACGAAAGUCGGUCUUAGUGAUCUGACGGUGCUGAGUGGAAAGGCCGUCACUCAACGGAUAAAAGUUACUCUAGGGAUAACAGGCUGA
rnacentral:rRNA from 1 species